GCGGUAUAACAUUUCAGUUUGUUUCCGGCAUUCCCGAUAGCACACAAGCCAAAUCAAUAUAAAAGUGAUGGGCAUGUCAAAACCGUCAAGUCAAAAAUAAUACUAAAACCCUAACAGGCAGACAAAGACUGAGUUUCAGCUCUCUAGCAGAUCCCUAGUCGAAGUUCUCUAUGUCUACUUUGGUCAUUGUAUUGGUGAGCUAAAAGAAGAAAACAACAAGUAAUAUCGUGAGUUUGGCUGAGUACAGGAGUACUUAUGUUUAGUCAUCAGGAUCUAAUUUAUCAGACUUUUUGGGCUCAUUUUCUCGCUGUGAUGUGUCAAUUUAAAGUGUGAGAAAAUUGCCUGGGCUUGUCUAGAAUGAUGAAUGAUGAUGAGACCAAAAACAGGAAUAGCUUUUGGUGAAUGUCGAAAAGCAAGAAAAAACCAACUACAGGAAACUAAUUUCAAUUUUUAAAUAAAUUAUAUGAUUUAAUUCUGGUCUGUAAAAAAAACAAGCAAA